rnacentral:rRNA from 1 species
AUUAGUUGCUACAUUUAGUUGGGCACUCUAAUGAGACUGCCGGUGACAAACCGGAGGAAGGUGGGGAUGACGUCAAGUCCUCAUGGCCCUUAUAGGUGGGGCUACACACGUCAUACAAUGGCUGGUACAGAGGGUUGCCAACCCGCGAGGGGGAGCUAAUCCCAUAAAACCAGUCGUAGUCCGGAUCGCAGUCUGCAACUCGACUGCGUGAAGUCGGAAUCGCUAGUAAUCGCGGAUCAGCAUGCCGCGGUGAAUACGUUCCCGGGUCUUGUACACACCGCCCGUCACACCAUGGGAGCGGGUCUCGCCAGAAGUAGGUAGCCUAACCGCAAGGAGGGCGCUUACCACGGCGGGGUU